rnacentral:lncRNA from 1 species
GGCCCCAACUCUGGCGUCUGUGUGAACUCUGCAGGAGGGUCAUCCUGCGGGUCACAGUCCCAGGUGCUCAGGAAGAACCUGUCCCCAGAGCCAGUGCCUGCUUGUAAAGGAGCUAACUGGAGCUGUCUUAGGAUGAGGGUCCUGAUGCCACCCCCCACCCCACCUCCACUGGGAACUCCAGGCUGUAAGGUGAGGCUGGGUUGAGCUUUAGUGCCCCCUGUAUGGGUGCCAGGCCUGGGGAAGGAGCAGCUCCAUUGGGAUGGGAGGGAGUGGGAGGCACCUGGCAUUCCCACGGCUACCCAGCUUCCGGCCCCGUUUGGAUCUGGGCCCAGCCUGCUGAGCCGCAGCGGGAACACGCGAGAAGCUGCCCACUCGGCGGGGCCUGUUGGUGCAGAAAGCUGGCCUUGGAAGAGCAGAGCCAAGGCUGCCAGAAAGGGGUGCUGGGAGGCCACUGCCCAUUGGUGCAGGAGGAGCCUCUGGGCCCCAGAGGAGGCCUGGGCAUGGGGGUGGAUGUGGACAUAGGCAGAAGCCUUUAGCCCCACCCCGGAAGGUGGCACAAAGGGGAGCCGAGCCAGAGCUGAGCGUCCCCAGCACCCACUCCACCAUCAGCUGCUCAGGCUGGCCCUGGCCUCAGACUCCUGCAGUCCCAACCCCAGGGGCCUCAGGUGGACUAAGGAACAGGGCGCUGGGCAGGGCAUGAAAGAACCACCAAGAGACCACCCUCAUUGUUGGCAUUUGGGGUGGCACUCAGUUAAACAAAAGUCUAGUGAGGCCGGGUGCAGUGGCUCAUGCCUGUAAUCCCAGCAAUUUGGGAUGCCAGGGCGGGUGGAUCACCUGAGUUCAGGAGUUGGAGACCAGUCUGGUCAACAUGGUGAAACCCCAUCUCUACAAACACCACAAAAAUUAGCCAGGUGUACUGACAGGCACCUGUAAUCCCAGCUACUUGGGGGGCUGAGGCAGGAGAAUCGCUUGAACCUGGGAGACAGAAGUUGCAGUGAGCCAAAAUCAUGCCAUCGCACUCCAGCCUGGGUAACAAGAGUGAAACUCCAUCUCAAAUAAAUGAAUGAAUUAAUUAAUUUAAUUUAAUGUAUUCAGACCGUGACUCCUCCUCACCCUCCACUGCUCCCUCCUGUCCAAGCACACCCUUCUUUCCCUGAUGAUGGAGGAGCACCCCCCCCAAGGUGGUCUUGCACUUCCAUGCUGCAUCCCAGGCUAUUCUCCCCCAUCAGCCAAACUGUCCCUGUUGAAACCGAAGUCAGUGUUCUGCUUCCUGUGACACAGAGAAGCUCUGAGCAGACCCCUCCCACUAUACACACAGAUAAUAGCUAGGAAGUUUGAAUCAAAUAUAAACAACUUUCGGGCCGGGUGUGGUGGCUCACGCCUGUAAUUCCAGCACUUUGGGAGGCCGAGGUGGGUGGAUCACGAGGUCAGGAGAUCGAGACCAUCCUGGCUAACAUGGUGAAAUCCUGUCUCUAUUAAGAAUACAAAAAAAUUAGCCAGGCAUGGUGGCAGGCGCCUAUAGUCCCAGCUA